ACAAAAGAGAAAACUACAAGAAGAAGGAGUUAUAGUUGACAGCACAUAUCAGUAAAUUUAGGCUUGAAUGAACUUUAUUUUGGAGGGAGAGCCUUCAGAAGAAUCCAUUUCAAAGGUUCACUGAAAUAUAAGAAAGAGGAGCAAACAAUACCAAGUUAUCUUUCACCCAGGAAGAUGAGGAGAAAUAGCACCCUGUACUUCUGUGGGAGGUCCUGAGUCAAAGACAGUCAGCCAUGCUGGACAAAGAGUGAUUGCUGGACUCCUUGGAACUAAGGCAUUUGGUUUCACAGACCGAGGAUAAUAGUCCUAGUGAAGUAUUAAAAUCUUGUGAAUGUAAGAGUUUUUGAUCACACUGUAUAUUAAGGAUAUAUUUCUGAAGCAUUAAUAAGUGAUUAAUAGGUGUUAUAAUCAUGUUACACGGAUCACGAUAAUGGUCAUAGAUGGUUAUAAGCAGCCAGGUGGA